rnacentral:rRNA from 1 species
CCUACGGGUGGCAGCAGUGAGGAAUAUUGGUCAAUGGACGAGAGUCUGAACCAGCCAAGUAGCGUGAAGGAUGACUGCCCUAUGGGUUGUAAACUUCUUUUAUAUGGGAAUAAAAUGGUCCACGUGUGGGCUUUUGUAUGUACCAUAUGAAUAAGGAUCGGCUAACUCCGUGCCAGCAGCCGCGGUAAUACGGAGGAUCCGAGCGUUAUCCGGAUUUAUUGGGUUUAAAGGGAGCGUAGGUGGAUUGUUAAGUCAGUUGUGAAAGUUUGCGGCUCAACCGUAAAAUUGCAGUUGAAACUGGCAGUCUUGAGUACGGUAGAGGUGUGCGGAAUGCGUGGUGUAGCGGUGAAAUGCUUAGAUAUCACGAAGAACUCCGAUUGCGAAGGCAGCUCACUGGACUGCAACUGACACUGAGGCUCGAAAGUGUGGGUAUCAAACAGGAUUAGAUACCCUUGUAGUC